rnacentral:rRNA from 1 species
UCAUGUCGGAUUAUUGGGCGUAAGCGCGCGCAGGCGGUUUCUUAAGUCUGAUGUGAAAGCCCCCGGCUCAACCGGGGAGGGUCAUUGGAAACUGGGGAACUUGAGUGCAGAAGAGGAGAGUGGAAUUCCACGUGUAGCGGUGAAAUGCGUAGAGAUGUGGAGGAACACCAGUGGCGAAGGCGACUCUCUGGUCUGUAACUGACGCUGAGGCGCGAAAGCGUGGGGAGCGAACAGGAUUAGAUACCCUGGUAGUCCCA